rnacentral:rRNA from 3 species
GGAUAAGGAAAGUAAAAAAGGGCGCAUGGCGGAUGCCUUGGCUCUCGGAGGCGAUGAAGGACGUGAUAAGCUGCGAUAAGCUUUGGGGAGGUGCAAAUGACCUUUGAUCCAGAGAUUUCCGAAUGGGACAACCCAAUAUCUUGAAGAGGUAUUAUCUUACUAUGUAAGAGGCUAACGCAGGGAACUGAAACAUCUUAGUACCUGCAGGAAAAGAAAAUAAACAAUGAUUCCCCCAGUAGUGGCGAGCGAACGGGGAACAGCCCAAACCAUCCAUGUUACGGCAUGGGUGGGGUUGUAGGACUACGCCGUUGCAUGAAGACAUCAGAGAAGAACUUUCUGGAAAGAAAGACCAUAGAGCAUGACAGUUGCGUAUUCGAAUGUUGUCGAAGCAUAGUAGUAUCCUGAGUAGCGCGGAGCACGAGGAAUUCUGCGUGAAUCUGCCGGGACCAUCCGGUAAGGCUAAAUACUCCCGAGAGACCGAUAGCGAACCAGUACCGUGAGGGAAAGGUGAAAAGCACUUCGAACAGAAGAGUGAAAUAGUUCCUGAAACCGUGCGCCUACAAGCGGUCGGAGCUCGUUAAUGAGUGACGGCGUGCCUUUUGCAUAAUGAACCUACGAGUUGCCUUUGCCGGCAAGGUUAAGUGUGACGACACACGUAUCCGAAGCGAAAGCGAGUCUGAACAGGGCGUAUAGUCGGCAGUGGCAGACGCGAAACCAAGUGAUCUACCCUUGGCCAGGUUGAAGGCUGGGUAACACCAGCUGGAGGACCGCACCAAUAAGCGUUGAAAAGCUUCUGGAUGAGCUGAGGGUAGGGGUGAAAGGCUAAUCAAACUUGGAGAUAGCUCGUACUCCCCGAAAUGCAUUUAGGUGCAGCCUUGCGGGUUACUGAUGUGAGGUAGAGCGACUGAUAAGAUGCGAGGGCUUCACCGCCUAUCAAGUCUUGACAAACUCCGAAUGCGCAUCAGUUCUACCGCAGGAGUGAGGGCAUGGGUGCUAAGGUCCGUGCCCGAGAGGAGAAGAAUCCGGACCACCUGCUAAGGUCCCGAAAUGACAGCUAAGUUAAACUAACGAAGUCUGACUGCUAAGACAGCUAGGAUGUUGGCUUGGAAGCAGCCAUUCAUUUAAAGAGUGCGUAACAGCUCACUAGUCGAGGAGUCGGGCGUGGAUAAUAAUCGGGUAUCAAGUUGUCUACCGAAGCAGUGGGAUCAUUUAUAUGAUCGGUAGGGGAGCAUUCCAGUCAGCGUCGAAGGCGUACCGUGAGGUAUUCUGGAGCGUCUGGAAAAGCAAAUGUAGGUAUAAGUAACGAUAAAGGGGGCGGGAAACCCCCUCGCCGAAAGACUAAGGUUUCCUGAUCAACGCUAAUCGGAUCAGGGUCAGUCGGGUCCUAAGGCUCAGCCGAACGGCGAUGCCGAUGGCAGAAACGGUUAAUAUUCCGUUACUACCUUCAGGAGUGACGUGGAGACGCAGUAGUGACAGUGCCGCCAUCUGACGGAAUAGAUGGUUGAAGGGUGUAGGAGUCGAUCAUGGCAGGCAAAUCCACCAUGAGAUCCGAACCUGACAGUAUGCCGCGUCCUUCGGGACAAGGCAAUAGUGCGCGUAAGCAUGCUGCCGAGAAAAUCCGCUAAACUUAAUCCUGCAGGUACCCGUACCGCAAACGGACACACGUAGUCGGGAUGAAUAUUCUAAGGCGCUUGAGUGAUUCACGGUUAAGGAACUAGGCAAACUGACCCUGUAACUUCGGGAUAAAGGGUCCCUACCCUUUUAUGGGAGGGCGCAGAGAAUCGGUCCAGGCAACUGUUUAACAAAAACACAGGGCUGUGCCAAAUCGAAAGAUCCAGUAUACAGCCUGACACCUGCCCGGUGCUGGAAGGUUAAGAGGAGAUGUCAUCGAUAAGAGAAGCGUUGAAUUGAAGCCCCAGUAAACGGCGGCCGUAACUAUAACGGUCCUAAGGUAGCGAAAUUCCUUGUCGGGUAAGUUCCGACCUGCACGAAUGGUGUAAUGAUCUGGACGCUGUCUCAACCGUGAGCUCAGUGAAAUUGUAGUAUCGGUGAAGAUGCCGAUUACCCGCGAUGGGACGAAAAGACCCCGUGAACCUUUACUAUAGCUUAUCAUUGAAUCUGGGCACGUGAUGUGUAGGAUAGGUCGGAGGCUUUGAAGCAGGUACGCCAGUAUUUGUGGAGCCGCUGUUGAAAUACGACCCUUUAUUUGUUUGGAUUCUAACCCGUGGAACGGGGACAUUGAUUGGUGGGUAGUUUGACUGGGGUGGUCGCCUCCAAAAGCGUAACGGAGGCUUCUAAAGGUGCCCUCCGGCCGAUUGGUAACCGGCCUUAGAGUGUAAUGGCAUAAGGGCGCUUGACUGGGAGACUAACAAGUCGAUCAGGUAGGAAACUAGAGCAUAGUGAUCCGGUGUUUCCGUAUGGAAGGGACAUCGCUCAAAGGAUAAAAGGUACUCCGGGGAUAACAGGCUGAUCCCUCCCAAGAGCUCAUAUCGACGGAGUGGUUUGGCACCUCGAUGUCGGCUCGUCACAUCCUGGGGCUGGAGAAGGUCCCAAGGGUUGGGCUGUUCGCCCAUUAAAGUGGCACGCGAGCUGGGUUCAGAACGUCGUGAGACAGUUCGGUCUCUAUCUAUCGUGGGCGCAUGAAAUUUGCGUGGCUCUGACACUAGUACGAGAGGACCGUGUUGGACAGACCUCUGGUUUGCCGGUUGUGCCGCCAGGUGCAUUGCCGGGUAUCUAAGUCUGGAUCGGAUAAGUGCUGAAAGCAUCUAAGUACGAAGCCGGCCACAAGAUUAGAUUUCUCAGGGUCGUUGUAGACUACGACGUUGAUAGGAUGCAGGUGUAAAGAUGGAGACAUCAAAGCCGAGCAUUACUAAUUGCCCGUUCACUUUCCUUA